UACAGAGACGAACGACUUCCGGCGAAGCCAGAGAAAUUCGAACGCUAUCUCAAAACACUGCACUUGCUUUGUUUUUUUGAGUAAUUGACGCUAUAUUUUAUAACGCAAGAAAUUGAUCAAAGUAUUUGGUCAUUCGCCAGCUUACGAGUUGAGUCGCAUAGAUCGAACUUUGAUGGAAAAACUAACACUAUUCGAGAGCGACGUAAGAAUCCGUUUGUUUUGACAAUAUGGAUUGUCAAUGUGUAUAUGGGGCGUUUCACAGCAAAUCGGCCGCCAUUUAAAUUUAAACGAUUUUCUAACAGUAUUUACUCAACAACCAAAAAAAGUGAAUUUUUUACGCUACCCGAGUUCACUCAGAGCAAUCGAUGUAAUUGAACAAAAAUACAAAAGGAAUAAACGUUCCUGUCAACUGUGAAUUUUUAGAAAAUGGAGAAUAAAUACUUGUAACUUCAACGGAUAUUUUUACGCAUCGCUUUGUACGCUCUAUCGGGUCGUUCGAAUUCUGAUACGAUAAAUAUCGGAGAUGAGGAGAAAAUCGUCGUUAAUGUUGCGGUACCGACAGGCCAAUCGAUGAUGAUCCGGAAUCAGCAUGUUCACUGAUACGUUGCAAUUUUGACACGAAAAAAAAUUCGUUUUGUUCGACGAAAAUUUUGUAAAUCCAACGAUUUUUUUUCUUCAAUGACGAAUCGUUCAGUUAACUCAAUGGAACCGUGGAAAUUUCUUGUACAUGAAUCAACCAAACUACAUAAAUCGGUUACGAUUUUGGUGGGACAAUUAUUUUAGUUCAUUA